rnacentral:ncRNA from 1 species
AGCUUACAUGACUAGGGAGCAACAAUCUAUUGGAGUCUUUGAUUUUAUUUAUAAUUUAAGGAGGUGCUCACUAUGGCAGCAGAUAUCAUUAGCACAAUCGUUGAAUUUGUUAAACUUAUCGCAGAAACAGUAGCAAAAUUUAUCAAAUAAUAAGAUUUGAUAAAAGUAUUUGUUAGAAUCUUUUUCCUUACUUAGACUAAAGUAAAAUCAGGUUUCGAUAUUGAAGCCAUUGUAGCAAUAUUUAAUAAUCGGUAAAUUCACUAAAUUUUUUCAUAAUUAAUAACAUCCCCAAUUAAAUAGAAUAACUGUAAAUAAAACAUUCCCUUAAUAUGAAGAACAGGCGAGUCCCUCCCAAGCUCGUCUGUUC